UACGUAGGUCGCAAGCGUUGUCCGGAUUCACUGGGCGUAAAGAGCGCGCAGGCGGCUGGUCAAGUCCGAUGUGAAAUCUCCCGGCUCAACUGGGAAACUGCAUCGGAAACUGAUCGGCUUGAAGAUGGGAGAGGGUAGUGGAAUUCCCGGUGUAGUGGUGAAAUGCGUAGAUAUCGGGAGGAACACCAGUGGCGAAGGCGACUACCUGGCCUGUUCUUGACGCUGAGGCGCGAAAGCUAGGGGAGCAAACGGG
rnacentral:rRNA from 1 species